rnacentral:rRNA from 1 species
UACGUAGGUGGCAAGCGUUGUCCGGAUUUACUGGGCGUAAAGGAUGCGUAGGCGGACAUUUAAGUCAGAUGUGAAAUACCCGAGCUUAACUUGGGUGCUGCAUUUGGAACUGGGUGUCUAGAGUGCAGGAGAGGUAAGUGGAAUUCCUAGUGUAGCGGUGAAAUGCGUAGAGAUUAGGAAGAACACCAGUGGCGAAGGCGACUUACUGGACUGUAACUGACGCUGAGGCAUGAAAGCGUGGGGAGCAAACAGG